rnacentral:rRNA from 1 species
AAAAACAUCGCCUCUUGCCCUCCCAUGAAUAAGAGGUCCAGCCUGCCCCGUGACGUAUACGUUUAACGGCCGCGGUAUCAUGACCGUGCAAAGGUAGCGCAAUCACUUGUUUUUUAAAUGAAGACCCGUAUGAAAGGCCCUACGAGGGCUUAACUGUCUCCUCUCUCCAGUCAAUGAAAUUGAUAUUCCCGUGCAGAAGCAGGAAUGCCCCCAUAAGACGAGAAGACCCUGUGGAGUUUCAGACGCUAGCAGCCCCGCACAACAGCCCCCCCCCCGGGGGGCAAUAUCGCCUGCCCCUGCCCCUGCGUCUUCGGUUGGGGCGACCACGGAGCACACAAAACCUCCAUGUGAAACAAGAACACACUCUCUUAAACAAGGGCCCCCGCCCUAACUAUUAGAAUCUCUAACCAACAGACCCGGCAAAGCCGAUCAACGAACCAAAUUACCCCAGGGAUAACAGCGCAAUCCCCUUUAAGAGACCUUAUCAAAAAGGGGGCUUACGACCUCGAUGUUGGAUCAGGACAUCCUAAUGGCGCAGCAACUAUUAAGGGUUCGUUUGUUCAACGAUUAAAGUCCUACGUGAUCUGAGUUC